AGGCUCGUGUCUUCCCCUCCACCGCCACUUUUCACCCGCGUCCACACACACCCUGACAUAUCGAGAAAAAGGCUCCAGGAGCGCGGCGGCUCGGCCCGGGAGCUGAGGCGGGGACCGGCCGCCUCCUGGAGCUCUCAGCCGGGGACCUGCAGGGAGACACACCGGGGAUUUCUCUCCCUCUGUGGCCGCUGAGGAUUUACGGCCCGGGCCUCGGUUUGACGUGAGCUCGGCUUCCAACCGACAACCUCAGCUGUGAAACUACAUCUUCCGGCUGUGUCUAUAAAAGGAACCAGCCAACAGUCCGUCAUCGGGGGAUGAUUCACUCUGAGUGCAACAGGUUUAUUACGUUCGAUGGUUGGAUUGUAAACAGUAUUAUGCAAAAGCUACCGGACGGUUCACCAUGACUUCUGAUAGGGAUCUGGAUCAGAGACAGAUUCAGGACUGAUAUUUAUAUGUGUGUGAGAGCAAGGUGCUGCAGAUCCAGAUAUAAAUCCGGGUCCAGUGGCCUCGGUGAUGUUGCAGCAGAGAUGAGACACACGAUACAAACCAGUGAUGUCAUGCCACAGAUUUACAGUUUGAGAAGGAACAGUGUGACUGUUCACUGGAUCACACACGACUCAGCAGUUUCCAUGAUGCCUGAGCUUUAGUUUCUCUGACGCAGCUUCUUAUCUCACUGUGGAAUCUGGGAAAUCGACGAUUGUCUGUGUGCAAAGUUAGAACAGCUCUGGAGAGCGAAGAUGUAAAAAAAUCAACUUUAUUCAACAAAUAAAAAACUUGUUAUAAAUGAUA